CCUACGGGAGGCAGCAGUGGGGAAUAUUGCACAAUGGACGGAAGUCUGAUGCAGCAACGCCGCGUGCGGGAUGACGGCCUUCGGGUUGUAAACCGCUUUCAGCAGGGACGAAGCGCAAGUGACGGUACCUGCAGAAGAAGCACCGGCUAACUACGUGCCAGCAGCCGCGGUAAU
rnacentral:rRNA from 1 species